rnacentral:lncRNA from 1 species
GAAGAGGGGCUGGCUCUCAGUCCCCGCCUCGCGGGGGGUGCCUCCCCCCCUGCGAUGGGGGUCCUAAGAGCCAGAAGGCUUAGAGGGGCUGGCUCUGAGCCCACGCCUCGCGAGGUGCCUCCCCACCUUGCGAUCGGGGUUCCAAGAGCCAGGGGGAAGAGGGGCUGGCUCUCUUUGUGGAUGAUUCUUUUUCCAUUCUCAGGCAGUUUUCUUUUUUCUUUCUUUCUUUUUUUUUUUGAGACUGAGUCUUGUUCUGUUGCCCAUGCUUUGCUGGAUCUCAGGUGACUGCAACCACUGCCUCCCAGGUUCAAGAGAUUCUCCUGCCUCAGCCUCCUGAGUAGCUGCGACUAGAGGCGUGUGUCACCACACCCAGCUAAUUUUUGUAUUCUUAGUAGAGAUGGGGUUUCACCAUGUUUGCCAGGAUGGUCUCUAUCUCCUGACCUUGUGAUCCACCCACCUCAGCCUCCCAACGUGCUGGGAUUGCAGGUGCGAGCCACCGGGUCCAGCCUUUCAGGCGAUUUUCAUACCUGCAUACUCUGAUCACUACUCUGUUAAACAGUCAAGGAGGCUAAGUAUUAUCUUCAGAUUUCCAGAGCUCUGUCUCUGUACAGCCCUCUCCUCCUCAAUGUUCUGCCCUAUGAAUUCUAGCCACAUUGGCCUUCCCAGACUCACAGUUCUGUCCUCUCAACUCAGGAAGAUCUCUGAGCUCCAUCUGCAUUCUUUCUUCCUGUGCUGUGGCCUGGAAAGUUUUCUAAGGUGUUUGGGAGGUCAAUUGUGGGGCUAGCCUCAUUGGUUUCUCAUUUCUUGAGGAUCACUGCCUUUUGAUGCUUGAUUCCAGUGAUUGAUUCCCUUUGUUGCUUGAGGGCCAUAGUUUCAUAUAUUUUGUCCAGUAUUUUUGUUGUUUUAGGUCAGAAAGGAAUUUUGGUCUCUGUUACUCCAUCUUGGCCAGAAGUGUAAGACCUAAGCAUUUACACAUCAAAAUACUGCACACGUAAUUUUAGUUUAAGCUACUUUUUAAAAAAUCUCCUUCAUUUUCCAUUUAGCAUUCUAUUUAGGGUAUUACAUUGGUUUUUUUGAAAUUCUGUUAUUGGCAGUUUCUAUUGCCUAUCAAUCCCAUUUAAAGAUAGUGCAUAGGGUAUUCUAAAAUAGCUGUUAAGCAGAGAGAAAAUUGGGCCUGAUAGGGUGAGAAUCACAGCUCUAAUACCUAGAGUGACCUUAUAAUGUAUUGUCCAAAGGAGAUAUUUUUGACAGUGAAAGAGGGUGUUGUUAGUAAUUAUAUCAGGACCAUGGCCUAAACCAGGACUAUCCCAGGCAGCCUGGGACAUAUUUGUACCCCAUCUCUAUUUAAUGCCUUUAUACAAUUCUUUACUUAAUUCUACCAGCCUUUAUUGAGCCUGCUUUCUUUGUCUAGCUGAAUGCCACGUGCUGACAUCACUAAGAUCAAUACAGCAAACUCUGAAAGAUGGACAGAGAGACAGGAGAUCGUCCUUUAUAAUUCAGUGUGAUCUGUGCUGCAAUAGAGAUGGAAGAGUGUUCUGAUCGGCUGGAAAACAACGCACAUGGGAAGCUGUACAGAAAUGAGUGGGGAAAGUUUUGGAAGCUAGAAGUUCAAAAUGAGGUGUUGGCAGCACCAUGCUCUCUCUGAAGAUGCUAGGAAGAAUCUGCUCCAUGCCUUUCCAUUCGCUUCUGGGGUUUCCUGCAAGCCCUGACAUUCCUUGGCUUGUAGAUGCAUCACCCCAGUUUCUGCCCCCAUCAUCACAUGGCCUCCUCUCUGCGUGUGCCUCUGCGUUCCCUCUAUUCUUCUUCUAAGGACACCGACACCAGUCAUAGUGGAUUAAGGAUCCACUCCUAACUAAUUACAUCUGCAACAACCGUAUUUCCAAAUAAAGUCACAUUCUAAGAUUCCUAGGGAGAACAUG